rnacentral:rRNA from 1 species
GCCGCCGCGGUAAUACGUAGGUGGCAAGCGUUAUCCGGAUUUACUGGGUGUAAAGGGUGUGUAGGCGGGGAAGUAAGUCAGAUGUGAAAUCUAUGGGCUCAACUCAUAGACUGCGUCUGAAACUGCUACUCUUGAGAGUCGGAGGGGUAAUUAGAAUUCCCGGUGUAGCGGUGAAAUGCGUAGAUAUCGGGAGGAAUACCGGUGGCGAAGGCGGAUUACUGGACGACAACUGACGCUGAGACACGAAAGUGUGGGGAGCAAACAGGAUUAGAUACCCC